GAUGAACGCUGGCGGCGUGCCUAAUACAUGCAAGUCGAGCGAACAGACGAGGAGCUUGCUCCUCUGACGUUAGCGGCGGACGGGUGAGUAACACGUGGAUAACCUACCUAUAAGACUGGGAUAACUUCGGGAAACCGGAGCUAAUACCGGAUAAUAUAUUGAACCGCAUGGUUCAAUAGUGAAAGACGGUUUUGCUGUCACUUAUAGAUGGAUCCGCGCCGCAUUAGCUAGUUGGUAAGGUAACGGCUUACCAAGGCGACGAUGCGUAGCCGACCUGAGAGGGUGAUCGGCCACACUGGAACUGAGACACUGUCCAGACUCCUACGGGAGGCAGCAGUAGGUAAUCUUCCGCAAUGGGCGAAAGCCUGACGGAGCAACGCCGCGUGAGUGAUGAAGGUCUUCGGAUCGUAAAACUCUGUUAUUAGGGAAGAACAAAUGUGUAAGUAACUAUGCACGUCUUGACGGUACCUAAUCAGAAAGCCACGGCUAACUACGUG
rnacentral:rRNA from 1 species